rnacentral:lncRNA from 1 species
CCAGCCGGGCAAGUCUGAAUGCAGCUCUAUACCCUCCCUGGCGAGGGGUCCUGGGCCCGCUGCUGGUGGCUGGCACGGCUGGUGGGGGGGGGCUCCUGGUCGUCGGCCUCGGGCUAGCCCUGGCUUUGCCUGGGAGUCUGGAUGAGGCGCUGGAGGAGGGCCUGGUGACUGCCUUGGCUCACUACAAGGACACAGAGGUGCCUGGGCACUGUCAGGCCAAAAGGCUGGUGGAUGAGCUGCAACUGAGCCGGAUCCAGAGCAAUGUAGAAGGCCUAUACCUGACUGAUGGGGUCCCUUUCUCCUGUUGCAACCCCCACUCACCCCGGCCUUGCCUGCAAAACCGUCUUUCAGACUCCUACGCCCACCCCCUGUUCGAUCCCCGACAACCCAACCAAAACCUCUGGGCCCAAGGGUGCCAUGAGGUGCUGCUGGAGCACUUGCAGGACUUGGCAGGCACACUGGGUAGCAUGCUGGCUGUCACCUUCCUACUGCAGGCUCUGGUGCUCCUUGGCCUGCGGUACCUGCAAACAGCACUGGAGGGGCUUGGAGGGGUCAUUGAUGCGGGAGGAGAGACCCAGGGCUAUCUC